rnacentral:lncRNA from 8 species
AUGGGAGAUCAGUUCUUCCUGAGUCAUGUGGGGCUCCUCUCCACUCCUUCCCGUCCCCCUCCCCCCAUCGGACAGCUGACACUGCAUCAUGGGAGAUCAGUUCUUCCUGAGUCAUGUGGGGCUCCUCUCUACUCCUUCCCUUCCUCCUACCUCCUCUCCACUCCUUCCCUUCCCCCUUCCUCCUCUCCAUUCCUUCCCUUCCCCCUUCCUCCUCUCCACUCUUUCCCUUCCUCCUCUCCACUCCUUCCCUUCCUCCUUCCUCCUCUCCACCCCUUCCCCUUUCCUCCUCUCCACUCCUUCCCUUCCCCUUUCCUCCUCUCCACUCCUUCCCUUCCACCUUCCUCCUCUCCACUCCUUCCCUUCCUCCUUCCUCCUCUCCUCUCCACUCUUUCCCUUCCUCCUCUCCACUCUUUCCCUUCCUCCUUCCUCCUCUCCACUCCUUCCCUUCCCCCUUCCUCCUCUCCACUCUUUCCCUUCCUCCUUCCUCCUCUCCACUCCUUCCCUUCCACCUUCCCCCUCUCCAUUCCUUCUCUUCCCCUUUCCUCCUCUCCACUCCUUCCUUUCCACCUUCCUCCUCUCCACUCCUUCCCUUCCUCCUUCCUCCUCUCCACCCCUUCCUCUUUCCUCCUCUCCACUCCUUCCCUUCCCCUUUCCUCCUCUCACUCCUUCCCUUCUACCGUCCUCCUCUCCACUCCUUCCCUCCCCCUUCCUCCUCUCCACUCCUUUCCUUCCUUCUUUCCACUCCUUCCCUCACUCCUUCCUCCUCUCCACUCCACUCCUUCCUUUCCUCCUUCCCUCUCUCCACUCCACUCCUUCCCUUUCUCAUCUCCUCUCCUUUCCUCUCCACUCCUUCCCUUCCCCCUCUCCUCUCCCUCCUUCCUUCCUCCUCUAAACUUCUUCUACAUUCCUCCUCUCCACUCCUUCCCUUCCUCCUUCCUCCUCUCCACUCCUUCCCUUCCACCUUCCUCCUCUCCACUCCUUCCCCUCCUCCUUCCUACUCUCCACUCCUUCCCUUCCCCCUUCCUCCUCACCACUCCUUAUACCUACCUUCCUUCCUUCCUCUAA